UACGUAGGGCGCAAGCGUUGUCCGGAAUUAUUGGGCGUAAAGAGCUCGUAGGCGGCUUGUCGCGUCGACUGUGAAAUCCCGCGGCUCAACUGCGGGUCUGCAGUCGAUACGGGCAGGCUAGAGUUCGGUAGGGGAGACUGGAAUUCCUGGUGUAGCGGUGAAAUGUGCAGAUAUCAGGAGGAACACCGGUGGCGAAGGCGGCAACCUGGUCCUUUACUGACGCUGAGGCGCGAAAGCGUGGGGAGCAAACAGG
rnacentral:rRNA from 1 species